AGUGAACGCUGGCGGUAGGCCUAACACAUGCAAGUCGAACGGCAGCACAGUAAGAGCUUGCUCUUACGGGUGGCGAGUGGCGGACGGGUGAGGAAUACAUCGGAAUCUACUUUUUCGUGGGGGAUAACGUAGGGAAACUUACGCUAAUACCGCAUACGACCUACGGGUGAAAGCAGGGGAUCUUCGGACCUUGCGCGAUUGAAUGAGCCGAUGUCGGAUUAGCUAGUUGGCGGGGUAAAGGCCCACCAAGGCGACGAUCCGUAGCUGGUCUGAGAGGGUGAUCAGCCAGACUGGAACUGAGACACGGUCCAGACUCCCGCGGGAAGCAGCAGUGGGGAAUAUUGGACAAUGGGGGCAAGGCUGAUCCAGGCAUACCGCGUGGGUGAAGAAGGCGUUCGGGUUGGAAAGCCCUUUUGUUGGGAGAGAAAAGCAGCAGGUUAAUACCCCGCUGUUCUGACGGUACCCGAAGAAUAAGCACCGGCUAACUUCGUG
rnacentral:rRNA from 1 species